rnacentral:rRNA from 1 species
GAUGAACGCUAGCUACAGGCUUAACACAUGCAAGUCGAGGGACCGGCGCCGGGGUGUGUAACCCGUAUCCAACCUGCCCGUUACUAGGGGAUAGCCUUUCGAAAGAAAGAUUAAUACCCGAUAUAAAGGAUGGGGAUGCGUUCCAUUAGGUUGUUGGUGAGGUAACGGCUCACCAAGCCUUCGAUGGAUAGGGGUUCUGAUCGGAAGGUCACCCACAUUGGAACUGAGACACGGUCCAAAUUCCUACGGGAGGCAGCAGUUAGGAAUAUUGGUCAAUGGGCGCUAGCCUGAACCAGCCAAGUAUCGUGAAGGAUGAAGGCUUUUGGGUCGUAAACUUCUGUUAUAUAAGAAUAUUUAUUAUAUGAAUAAGGAUCGGCUAACUCCGUGCCAGCAGCCGCGGUAAUUC